UACGGAGGGUGCAAGCGUUAAUCGGAAUUACUGGGCGUAAAGCGUGCGCAGGCGGUUUGUUAAGUCUGUUGUGAAAUCCCCGAGCUCAACUUGGGAAUUGCAAUGGAUACUGGCAGGCUGGAGUAUGGUAGAGGAAGGUGGAAUUCCCGGUGUAGCAGUGAAAUGCGUAGAGAUCAGGAGGAACACCAGUGGCGAAGGCGGCCUUCUGGACCAAUACUGACGCUCAUGCACGAAAGCGUGGGGAGCAAACAGG
rnacentral:rRNA from 1 species